UAUUUACUUAAUAUUCAUGAGCUCCCUGCGUAUGUCGCCGAGCAUAGCAUAGCAGAUAAACAUUAACUAUCCGUUUAAACUUUAUAAUUCGAUUAAAAACAAUCGGGUUUACUGUAUCACUACAUAGUCAUACUAUAUAAUACACAUAUAAUCACAUCUUGUGUCAACUUAACGAGCAGCCUGCGUCUUUUUGGGGGGCGUUAUUAACGAGAGCCACCAUAUCGUGUUGACUUUUUGACAUGUUUCAGCCUGGGUGGAUGCAGUGUGGGAUUUCGAGUUCACGCACACAGACCCUCUUGACCCAGUUAUUGAGGAGGAGAUAAAGGAAGGCCCUGAUGUUUUCAAAACAAUUUACGUGCAGCUUUUGCCCUUCUCCAAUGAGGAGGAUGACAAUACACAGAGUGUCUGGGUGGUGUUCGGUGAGAACGGAGUCUCUGCAAAAACUGUCCUUUCCUACUUCAUCCUUGGUGCUAAAACCAGAAGUCCCAGUCUUGAACAGAGACUAUGUGGUCUACAGGCAGCCUCUCUAUACUUGUUGUUGCUAAAAAUACCUGGUAGUUUAUGUGGUUUUGAGCAUUGUAAAUCACAGUACUUUGCUGGAUAUCUGAUGAGCACACUACUGAGUGCACUGCAGCACUGCAGGGCAUCGACUCCAAGACUGUGAUCCUACUGGGAAAAGUUGCACUCUGGGUGAU